rnacentral:lncRNA from 1 species
CACUCCCGAGGGGACGGUCUCCCGCCCGCCCUCACACACAGCUAGCUCUUCAGGCCAGGCCCCCAGGGUUUCGUCCACCUCUCACCUUUGACGACGCGAAUGAAGAAUGAGGAGGUGCUGCGAUCGAACGACUGCGAGGAAACACACCCGCUCUCAUGGCAUUCCCAGUAAACUGAGAAGACGUGAUUAAACCUCAGGAUCUCCUACUAAUAGAGAAAUGUAUAACGAUUUAGCUACCAGAUCUGAAUACUGAAGGGUUGGUAGGGGACCAGAGAAUAGAGGAAGCAUUGUAGGUUCUAGAGUGGAGAAGGGACCAUCCAAAAUGGAGUUUGAAAGAGAAUUCUGGCCUUUGUGUUUAGAGUCUGGAAUUGUCAAGAGUCUGAAAGCACAGAAUAAGACUGCAGCUAGAGCAAUUUAGGCGCCAUAGUUUGUCAAAACAGGUAAGGGGAAUAAAGGGGAUGACACCAAGAGAUGUGCAAAGAAUCUGAAGAAUUCACCUGAAAAGGAUACAACCUCCUCCUGGAAGGCAGAGGAGUAAAUAGGGAAUUGGAAAUUAAUUCCUUAUUUCUGCACAUGCACAGAAUCUGGGCCCAGGUGACUUAUGGAACCUUUAUAGAGACCACGGUGACUGACACUCAUGGGAAAGGGGGUAGAGGGGCAAGAACUGACUGUUCAUCAAAAAUUAUUAGAUGAGUGUGUCCACGACACCAGGAGAUAUGUUGAAUCAUGGACAGGGACCAGCAUAUCCACUAAGCUCUAUAUAUCUUGAUGGUGCAGGAUCCAAGUGGGAUGGAACAACCAAUUCCUGCCCAUCCUCCUGCUCAAUAAUACAUGUGCUCAGAAUCUGUUCAUAAUGCAUGGUGAGACGGGAUCUCACUGUGUUGCCCAGGCUGGUCUCGAACUGCUGGACUCAAGUCAUCCUCCCAUCUUGGCCUCCCAAAGUGCUGGAAUUACAGUGGACAACCUUCAAUGCACUGGUACUUUGUACCCUGACCUCUACUGUGAUGAACACUCAACUUGGGCAAGGAAGUGAAAUUCUCCAAAGCCUUUGCUUCUCAGAUUCCUCUCAAGGCUUUAUGACUCUUCUCACCCCAGGAAACCCUACAACACGCACGGCCUUUCAGAACUGCUACAUGGAAUGGACAUUCCUCUGGGCUCCAGCUGAAUGUUUGUAAAUAAAAUAAUGACUGCGUGUCCUUA